rnacentral:rRNA from 1 species
GCUCAGGAUGAACGCUGGCGGCGUGCUUAACACAUGCAAGUCGAACGAAGUCCAUGGAGCUUGCUCCGGACGACUUAGUGGCGAACGGGUGCGUAACACGUGAGAAACCUGCCCCGGACUCUGGGAUAACAGUUGGAAACGACUGCUAAUACCGGAUACCACCGUUGAGUCGCAUGGCUCGACGAUGAAAGGUCCGCCGGUCCGGGAGGGUCUCACGGCCUAUCAGCUUGUUGGAGAGGUAACGGCUCACCAAGGCAUCGACGGGUAGCUGGUCUGAGAGGAUGAUCAGCCACACUGGGACUGAGACACGGCCCAGACUCCUACGGGAGGCAGCAGUGGGGAAUCUUGCACAAUGGGCGCAAGCCUGAUGCAGCAACGCCGCGUGCGGGAAGAAGGCCCUAGGGUUGUAAACCGCUUUCAGGAGGGAAGAAAAUGACGGUACCUCCAGAAGAAGGUGCGGCCAACUACGUGCCAGCAGCCGCGGUAACACGUAGGCACCAAGCGUUAUCCGGAUUUAUUGGGCGUAAAGAGCUCGUAGGCGGUUCAGUCAGUCGGGUGUGAAAACUUGAGGCUUAACCUCAAGAGGUCACUCGAUACUACUGUGACUAGAGUGCGGUAGGGGAGCGGGGAAUUCCUGGUGUAGCGGUGAAAUGCGCAGAUAUCAGGAGGAACACCAGUGGCGAAGGCGCUGCUCUGGGCCGUAACUGACGCUGAGGAGCGAAAGCAUGGGUAGCAAACAGGAUUAGAUACCCUGGUAGUCCAUGCCGUAAACGUUGGGCACUAGUGUGGGUCUCAACCAACGAGAUCCGCGCCGUCGCUAACGCAUUAAGUGCUCCGCCUGGGGAGUACGGUCGCAAGACUAAAACUCAAA